AGAUUGAACGCUGGCGGCAUGCCUUACACAUGCAAGUCGAACGGCAGCACGGGAGCAAUCCUGGUGGCGAGUGGCGAACGGGUGAGUAAUACAUCGGAACGUGCCCAAUCGUGGGGGAUAACGCAGCGAAAGCUGUGCUAAUACCGCAUAAGAUCUACGGAUGAAAGCAGGGGAUCGCAAGACCUUGCGCGAAUGGAGCGGCCGAUGGCAGAUUAGGUAGUUGGUGAGGUAAAGGCUCACCAAGCCUUCGAUCUGUAGCUGGUCUGAGAGGACGACCAGCCACACUGGGACUGAGACACGGCCCAGACUCCUACGGGAGGCAGCAGUGGGGAAUUUUGGACAAUGGGCGAAAGCCUGAUCCGAGCCAUGCCGCGUGCAGGAUGAAGGU
rnacentral:rRNA from 1 species